rnacentral:rRNA from 1 species
UGGGGAAUAUUGCACAAUGGGCGCAAGCCUGAUGCAGCCAUGCCGCGUGUAUGAAGAAGGCCUUCGGGUUGUAAAGUACUUUCAGCGAGGAGGAAGGCGUUGUGGUUAAUAACCGCAACGAUUGACGUUACUCGCAGAAGAAGCACCGGCUAACUCCGUGCCAGCAGCCGCGGUAAUACGGAGGGUGCAAGCGUUAAUCGGAAUUACUGGGCGUAAAGCGCACGCAGGCGGUCUGUCAAGUCGGAUGUGAAAUCCCCGGGCUCAACCUGGGAACUGCAUCCGAAACUGGCAGGCUAGAGUCUUGUAGAGGGGGGUAGAAUUCCAGGUGUAGCGGUGAAAUGCGUAGAGAUCUGGAGGAAUACCGGUGGCGAAGGCGGCUCCCUGGACAAAGACUGACGCUCAGGUGCGAAAGCGUGGGGAGCAAACA